AUUCGUGGCUUAGGAUGGCUCGGCGGCGGAUUAGGCUGUUGGUGGUGUCAAGGACCACCAAACUGAGAUCUGUAGGGGCGAUGAGAGUCGGAGCCCCCAGAGGCACACUGAGAAAAGGGUGCCAGCCCUACGGGGUGCAGCAGUCGAGAAACCUUCGCAAUGCGCGCAAGCGUGACGAGGGAAUCCCACGUGCUAUUGCUUUACGUAAUAGCUUUUUUCGUGUGUUAAAAGCACGGAGAAUAAGUGAGUGGGCAAGACCGGUGCCAGCCGCCGCGGUAAUCCCGGCGCCACAAGUGGCUCUCGCGUUUAUUGGGUCUAAAGCAUCCGUAGCCGGCUCGUUAAGUUUCCUGUGAAAUCCGGCAGCUUAACUGUCGGGCGAGCAGGGAGUACUGGCGAGCUAGAGAGCGGGAGAAGCAGACGGUAUGCCUUGGGGAGCGGUAAAAUGUUUUAAUCCAAGGUAGACCACCGAUGGCGAAGGCAGUCUGCUAGAACGCGUCUGACGGUGAGGGAUGAAAGCUAGGGGAGCAAAAGGGAUUAGAUACCCCUGUAGUCCUAGCCGUAAACACUGCCUGUUGGAUGCUAGCACAUCUUUAAGGUGCGCUAGUGUCGUAGCGAAGGCGUUAAACAGGCCACCUGGGGAGUACGGUCGCAAGACUGAAACUUAAAGGAAUAGGCGGGGGAACACACAAAGGGUGAAUGCUGCGGCUCAAUUGGAUUCUACGCCCGGAAACUUACUAGCAGCGACAGCAGAAUGAAAGUCCUCCUGAAUGGGGCACUCGACGCGCUGAGAGGUAGUGCAUGGCCGUCGUAAGCUCGUGCCGUGAGGUGUUCAGUUAAGUCUGAGAACGAGCGAGACCUGCGCAUCUAAUUGCCAUGUUUUUCAGCAAUGAAAGACAGCACAAUAGAUGGACUGCUAGCGUAGCC
rnacentral:rRNA from 1 species